CCCUGACAGGUGCAAUACCGCGCCUGACAUUAGCCUAGACAGGAGAUACUCAUG
rnacentral:sRNA from 12 species